rnacentral:misc_RNA from 1 species
GAUGAAGAACGCAGCGAAAUGCGAUAAGUAGUGUGAAUUGCAGAAUUCAGUGAAUCAUCGAAUCUUUGAACGCACAUUGCGCCCCUUGGUAUCCCGAGGGGCAUGCCUGUUCGAGCGUCAUUUCACCACUCAAGCCUGGCUUGGUGUUGGGCGACGUCCUCUUUGGGGACGCGCCUCGAAACGCUCGGCGGCGUGGCACCGGCUUUAAGCGUAGCAGAAUCUUUCGCUUUGGAAGUCGGGGCCCCGUCUGCCGGAAGACCUGCUCGCAAGGUUGACCUCGGAUCAGGCAGGGAUACCCGCUGAACUUAAGAAUAUCAAUAAGCGGAGGA